CCUGCCUCUGGAAGUCUUGCAGGUGUGGCUGCUGUGUCACACGUGUAUCAGUAAGUCCCAGAGAGGUGAGAGAGUAUGUCCACUGUCAGUAUUCUGACCUGUGAACAUUUGAAUCAUUAGUACCUUAGCAUU
ensembl:snoRNA